AUUGAACGCUGGCGGCAUGCUUUACACAUGCAAGUCGGACGGCAGCACAGAGAAGCUUGCUUCUUGGGUGGCGAGUGGCGAACGGGUGAGUAACAUAUCGGAACGUACCGGGCAGUGGGGGAUAACUAAUCGAAAGAUUAGCUAAUACCGCAUAUCUUCUGAGGAAGAAAGCAGGGGACCAUUUGGCCUUGCGCUGUUUGAGCGGCCGAUAUCUGAUUAGCUAGUUGGUGGGGUAAAGGCCUACCAAGGCGACGAUCAGUAGCGGGUCUGAGAGGAUGAUCCGCCACACUGGGACUGAGACACGGCCCAGACUCCUACGGGAGGCAGCAGUGGGGAAUUUUGGACAAUGGGGCGCAAGCCCUGAUCCCAGCCACGCCGCGUGUCUGAAAGAAAGGGCCCUUUCGGGUUGUAAAAG
rnacentral:rRNA from 1 species